CCGCUGGCUCUCUUGUUUGCUGUGUUCGAAUAAGGUUCCCGGACUUCCUGAGCUGUUUGUUUGAAGACCUCCCAGUAUCGAUCGGAUGUGAUCUUGCAGAGCUCGUAUGUGGAGUUCAUGGCCCAGUACAGCUGCAGCUGCUCCUGGCGGGCGAGAGGGGAAGCCGAGGGAAGGAGGGGUAACGUCAGCCAAGGGGAUACACGUUGUGCCGCCGAAAGAGUGCUUGGAACAGAGGUUUGUUGAGAGGGAUGGUCUGCAGGAUGCUGCCAUCUGAGCUCACGUAUCCGAUGGCCCACUGUCCCAGGC